GAUCCCCUACGGGGGGCAGCAGUGGGGAAUAUUGCACAAUGGGGGGAACCCUGAUGCAGCGACGCCGCGUGGGCGAGGAAGUAUUUCGGUAUGUAAAGCCCUAUCGGCAGGGAAGAAGAAAUGACGGUACCUGAAUAAGAAGCACCGGCUAAAUACGUGCCAGCAGCCGCGGUAAUACGUAUGGUGCAAGCGUUAUCCGGAAUGAUUGGGCGUAAAGGGUGCGCAGGCGGUCCUGCAAGUCUGGAGGGAAACGCAUGAGCUCAAC
rnacentral:rRNA from 1 species